rnacentral:rRNA from 1 species
AGUGAACGCUGGCGGUAGGCCUAACACAUGCAAGUCGAACGGCAGCACAGUAAGAGCUUGCUCUUACGGGUGGCGAGUGGCGGACGGGUGAGGAAUACAUCUGAAUCUACUUUUUCGUGGGGGAUAACGUAGGGAAACUUACGCUAAUACCGCAUACGACCUACGGGUGAAAGCAGGGGAUCUUCGGACCUUGCGCGAUUGAAUGAGCCGAUGUCGGAUUAGCUAGUUGGCGGGUAAAGGCCCACCAAGGCGACGAUCCGUAGCUGGUCUGAGAGGAUGAUCAGCCACACUGGAACUGAGACACGGUCCAGACUCCUACGGGAGGCAGCAGUGGGGAAUAUUGGACAAUGGGCGCAAGCCUGAUCCAGCCAUACCGCGUGGGUGAAGAAGGCCUUCGGGUUGUAAAGCCCUUUUGUUGGGAAAGAAAAGCAGCAGGUUAAUACCCCGCUGUUCUGACGGUACCCAAAGAAUAAGCACCGGCUAACUUCGUG